CACCGCGGUUAUACGAGAAGGCCCGAGCUGACAGGCUCCGGCGUAAAGAGUGGUUAAGACUAUACAGCACUAAAGCCAAACACCCUCCCGGCUGUUAUACGCAUUCGAGGGUCGGAAGUACUCACACGAAGGUUGCUUUAAACCCCUGACGCCACGAAAGCUGGGGAA
rnacentral:rRNA from 1 species